UACGAAGGGGGCUAGCGUUGUUCGGAAUCACUGGGCGUAAAGGGCGCGUAGGCGGCUUACUAAGUCAGGGGUGAAAUCCUGGAGCUCAACUCCAGAACUGCCUUUGAUACUGAAGAUCUUGAGUUCGGGAGAGGUGAGUGGAACUGCGAGUGUAGAGGUGAAAUUCGUAGAUAUUCGCAAGAACACCAGUGGCGAAGGCGGCCCACUGGCCCGAUACUGACGCUGAGGCACGAAAACGUGGGGAGCAAACAGG
rnacentral:rRNA from 1 species